GCAGUUAGCGGAAUGGGACAACCUAUUUAUUUAGUUCGCUUUCUGUGUAUAUGGA
rnacentral:sRNA from 1 species